rnacentral:misc_RNA from 1 species
GAUGAAGAACGCAGCGAAAUGUGAUAAGUAGUGUGAAUUGCAGAAUUCAGUGAAUCAUCGAAUCUUUGAACGCACAUUGCGCCCCUUGGUAUUCCAUGGGGCAUGCCUGUUCGAGCGUCAUUUGUACCUUCAAGCUCUGCUUGGUGUUGGGUGUUUGUCUCGCCUCUGCGUGUAGACUCGCCUCAAAACAAUUGGCAGCCGGCGUAUUGAUUUCGGAGCGCAGUACAUCUCGCGCUUUGCACUCAUAACGACGACGUCCAAAAGUACAUUUUUACACUCUUGACCUCGGAUCAGGUAGGGAUACCCGCUGAACUUAAGCAUAUCAAUAAGCGGGAGGA